GUUAGGAAUAUUGGACAAUGGGCGCAAGCCUGAUCCAGCCAUGCCGCGUGAGUGAUGAAGGCCUUAGGGUUGUAAAGCUCUUUCAGUGGGGACGAUAAUGACGGUACCCACAGAAGAAGCCCCGGCUAACUUCGUGCCAGCAGCCGCGGUAAUACGAAGGGGGCUAGCGUUGUUCGGAUUUACUGGGCGUAAAGCGCACGUAGGCGGAUCGUUAAGUCGGGGGUGAAAUCCUGGAGCUCAACUCCAGAACUGCCUUCGAUACUGGCGAUCUUGAGUCCGGAAGAGGUGAGUGGAACUCCUAGUCUAGAGGUGGAAUUCGUAGAUAUUAGGAAGAACACCAGUGGCGAAGGCGGCUCACUGGUCCGGUACUGACGCUGAGGUGCGAAAGCGUGGGGAGCAAACAGGAUUAGAUACCCGGGUAGUCC
rnacentral:rRNA from 1 species